rnacentral:lncRNA from 1 species
GGGGCGCCUGUGGGAGCCGUGGAGGGAACUUUCCCAGUCCCCGAGGCGGAUCCGGUGUUGCAUCCUUGGAGCGAGCUGAGAGCUCGAGUACAGAACCUGCUAAGGCCAUCAAACCUAUUGAUCGGAAGUCAGUCCAUCAGAUUUGCUCUGGGCCGGUGGUACCGAGUCUAAGCACUGCGGUGAAGGAGUUAGUAGAAAACAGUCUGGAUGCUGGUGCCACUAAUAUUGAUCUAAAGCUUAAGGACUAUGGAGUGGAUCUCAUUGAAGUUUCAGGCAAUGGAUGUGGGGUAGAAGAAGAAAACUUCGAAGGCUUAACUCUGAAACAUCACACAUCUAAGAUUCAAGAGUUUGCCGACCUACCUCAGGUUGAAACUUUUGGCUUUCGGGGGGAAGCUCUGAGCUCACUUUGUGCACUGAGUGAUGUCACCAUUUCUACCUGCCAUUUAUUUUCUACGCUACCUGUGCACCAUAAAGAAUUUCAAAGGAAUAUUAAGAAGAAACGUGCCUGCUUCCCCUUCGCCUUCUGCCGUGAUUGUCAGUUUCCUGAGGCCUCCCCAGCCAUGCUUCCUGUACAGCCUGCAGAACUGUGAGUCAAUUAAACCUGUUUUCUUCAUAAA